rnacentral:rRNA from 1 species
UUUUGAAUCUGGCGGUCUUCGGCCGUCCGAGUUGUAAUCUAGAGAAGCGUUUUCCGCGCUGGACCGUGUAUAAGUUUCCUGGAAGGGAGCGUCGUAGAGGGUGAGAAUCCCGUCUUUGACACGGACUACCAGUGCUAUGUGAUGCGCUCUCGACGAGUCGAGUUGUUUGGGAAUGCAGCUCAAAAUGGGUGGUAAAUUCCAUCUAAAGCUAAAUACAGGCGAGAGACCGAUAGCGAACAAGUACCGUGAGGGAAAGAUGAAAAGAACUUUGGAAAGAGAGUUAAACAGUACGUGAAAUUGCUGAAAGGGAAACGCUUGAUGUCAGUCGCGUCGGCUGGGGAUCAACCUUGCUUCUCGCUGGGUGUACUUCCCGGCGGACGGGUCAGCAUCAGUUUCGGUCGCCGUACAAGGGCGAGGGGAACGUGGCACUCUUCGGGGUGUGUUAUAGCCUUUCGUCGCAUGCGGUGGUGGGGACUGAGGAACUCAGCACGGCUUCGGUCUGUGCUCAGGAUGCUGGCAUAAUGGCCUUAAGCGACCCGUCUUGAAACACGGACCAAGGAGUCUAACAUGCCUGCGAGUGUUUGGGUGACAAACCCGAGCGCGCAAUGAAAGUGAAAGUUGAGACCUCUGUCGUGGAGGGCAUCGACGCCCGGACCUGAGUCUUUGACGACGGAUCUGCGGUAGAGCAUGCAUGUUGGGACCCGAAAGAUGGUGAACUAUGCCUGAAUAGGGUGAAGCCAGAGGAA